rnacentral:piRNA from 1 species
UAGAGAAUCCUUUUAAAAAAG